AGCCAAUGAGCACACUCUCAGUGAGAGGCUAGGACUAUAAGCCUUCCUUCAAGGAGCGACAGUGAGGAAAUUGAAUUUGGCAUCAUGGUGAAAUUGCCCGGCACCGAGGCUUAUGACUCACGUAGCACUUGUUCUAACACUAAACACCCUGACCAUAAGAGGAGCUAGGCGUUGGCUUGGGUGAGGAGAGCAACAACCAGCAAGUGGAAGCAUCCAUACAGAGGCGGGGAGCCUCUUGCUGCCUGAGCAUCCAACGCUGCAUACAGCUUCUGAUACAUGCCUGCCACUGCUCCAGUGCCCGCUGUCAUCUGCUUCCCUGCCGGAAGAUGAAGAGGGUCGUGCAGCACACCAAAGGCUGUAAACGGAAAACCAAUGGUGGAUGCCCCAUCUGCAAACAGUUUAUUGCACUCUGCUGCUCCCAUGCCAGGCACUGCCAGGAGAACAACUGUCCGGUGCCAUUUUGCCUCCGCAUCAGACAACGCUUUAACAUCAGCAGCAGCAGCAGCUGCUCCGCAAGAGAAUGACCAGCCUGCCACUGUUCUGGUGUGGCAGGACACCAGCUGGGUCUGCUGUCCCCAACUCCUGAGACUCCAACCAGCGCUCCUGACCAACAGUCAGCCACCCCACAGACACCCUAGACCUCACCCACUUCUCAACGUCCGCCCACUCCUCCCAACAUCAUGCCACCCUGUUGGAGCCCACAAGACUCUACAGUAAAUGUAGAGCUGACAGAUUCAUAAAGGCAGACCCACAGUGUACAGCUUAUGGGGUACCCCGUUUUGCAGAUCUGCAGGUACAUCUGUCUUUUGAAAAAGUCACUGUCAUAUUUGUGGAAGCCCUGUGAGGCUAUAAUUCCCUCUUCAAAGUGGGAUUCAUUCCCAAAACACCUCAGCAGUGUAAUUUCUGCACAGGCGAGGGACUGACCUUUGGUUCCCCCACACCAGGAAGCCUUAGAGCAAUAACAUUCACUCUUUGUUCUAAUGGUCAAAUUUACAUAGAGUCAAUCCCUCAAAAUUACCUGCUAACAUCCCACAUAGAAAUUUUUUUAGAAGAUAGGCACUGAGCAGCAAGCCCCAUUCUUACCAGACAGACCGGUCUGGGUGUGGGUGAAGUCCAGGUUCAGGGACCUUUAGUAACUUUAUAUGAUGGUUUGGAACAUCAGGUAUUUCCCCUUGGGUGCUGGCUCUUUCCUGGGUGGUGUCACCUGUUCUGGAGUGCAGCUUUGUCAGGUUCUACCUGCCCUUUUUGUGAUUGUGAUUUGCAUGUUAUCGUUUUCCUAUGUCUGUAAAAGUAGAAACCUCAUGGAGAUUGCCCCUUAUUCUUGUUGAGCUUCUCACUGCUUAUUCAUGCAAAGGAAUAAAGAGCAUGCAGCAAGAA